UUUGCUCACUCACAAUCUCAAAAUCGUGGACCUCCACGGCCUCGUCCGUCCCGCUGCCCGUGCUGAACUUUUCCAUGUUGUUCUCCGUGUCGAUCUCCAUCGUGCCUUCCUCCACUUUGCCAUUGAUGCUCAUGCUGUAGUGGACAUUGUACACCUGCACACAAAACACGGACCGGCGCGGAAGAGGCCUUUAUCGUAAAUACCCGAGCCACCAGAAAACAAGCUUCCCCCUCUCCUCUCACACACACCUCUUGCCCCUGGAGCAUCAACCGGACCAGAGGAACCCCCCUCACCCACCCCAUCCUUCCAGAAUCCUCCACAUAUAAACAAGGGCCCCAUUCAUGCAGUCGGUCGUGAAACGUGUCUUGUUUGACUUGGAUCCAUGUGUUUUCUUACGCUGCAAAAAAUAUAAAAACAGCCUCCAGUUUGGAGUCGUCCCCCCCCCCCCCCCACCCAAAAAAAAAAGUCAUGCAGCUUGUGUCCAAUUAAAAAGGCUACAUUUGUGCCAUUUUUUUAUAAAAGUCAAUCUUGCCGCGUGUGCCUUGGAACGUUUUCAAAAUUAAAGUCGCUCUACUGCCGCUGCAACUAAAUAAAAUUGUCUCGCAAAACAGACUCGAUGUCCCGUUUAAGAGCCUCCUCGUCGGACACGCUUGAAGUCACGGCAACGGCAAGCCUUACGUGUUUUUCAGUGUUGUUCCAGAAGUAGAAGGCUCCGACGGCCCCCAGGAGUAGCAGCAGGGCUCCGGCGACGAGCACCGCGAUACCGGCCUUUAGUACGCGCCCGCUCGCUGCGGGUUUCACGGCCACGGUGGAGUACGCCUGCGAAAAAGAAAAAAAAAGGAGAGAAAAA